rnacentral:rRNA from 1 species
CAGAAGUGCGAAUGCUGACAUAAGUAACGAUAAAGCGGGUGAAAAGCCCGCUCGCCGGAAGACCAAGGGUUCCUGUCCAACGUUAAUCGGGGCAGGGUGAGUCGACCCCUAAGGCGAGGCCGAAAGGCGUAGUCGAUGGGAAACAGGUUAAUAUUCCUGUACUUGGUGUUACUGCGAAGGGGGGACGGAGAAGGCUAUGUUAGCCGGGCGACGGUUGUCCCGGUUUAAGCAUGUAGGCUGGUUAUCCAGGCAAAUCCGGAUAACCAAGGCUGAGGUGUGAUGACGAGGCACUACGGUGCUGAAGUAACAAAUGCCCUGCUUCCAGGAAAAGCCUCUAAGCAUCAGGUAACAUCAAAUCGUACCCCAAACCGACACAGGUGGUCAGGUAGAGAAUACCAAGGCGCUUGAGAGAACUCGGGUGAAGGAACUAGGCAAAAUGGUGCCGUAACUUCGGGAGAAGGCACGCUGGUGUGUAGGUGAAGUCCCUGCGGAUGGAGCUGAGACCAGUCGAAGAUACCAGCUGGCUGCAACUGUUUAUUAAAAACACAGCACUGUGCAAACACGAAAGUGGACGUAUACGGUGUGACGCCUGCCCGGUGCCGGAAGGUUAAUUGAUGGGGUUAUCCGUAAGGAGAAGCUCUUGAUCGAAGCCCCGGUAAACGGCGGCCGUAACUAUAACGGUCCUAAGGUAGCGAAAUUCCUUGUCGGGUAAGUUCCGACCUGCACGAAUGGCGUAAUGAUGGCCAGGCUGUCUCCACCCGAGACUCAGUGAAAUUGAACUCGCUGUGAAGAUGCAGUGUACCCGCGGCAAGACGGAAAGACCCCGUGAACCUUUACUAUAGCUUGACACUGAACAUUGAGCCUUGAUGUGUAGGAUAGGUGGGAGGCUUUGAAGCGUGGACGCCAGUCUGCGUGGAGCCAACCUUGAAAUACCACCCUUUAAUGUUUGAUGUUCUAACGUUGGCCCCUGACCGGGGUUGCGGACAGUGUCUGGUGGGUAGUUUGACUGGGGCGGUCUCCUCCCAAAGCGUAACGGAGGAGCACGAAGGUUAGCUAAUCCUGGUCGGACAUCAGGAGGUUAGUGCAAUGGCAUAAGCUAGCUUGACUGCGAGCGUGACGGCGCGAGCAGGUGCGAAAGCAGGUCAUAGUGAUCCGGUGGUUCUGAAUGGAAGGGCCAUCGCUCAACGGAUAAAAGGUACUCCGGGGAUAACAGGCUGAUACCGCCCAAGAGUUCAUAUCGACGGCGGUGUUUGGCACCUCGAUGUCGGCUCAUCACAUCCUGGGGCUGAAGUAGGUCCCAAGGGUAUGGCUGUUCGCCAUUUAAAGUGGUACGCGAGCUGGGUUUAGAACGUCGUGAGACAGUUCGGUCCCUAUCUGCCGUGGGCGCUGGAGAAUUGAGGGGGGCUGCUCCUAGUACGAGAGGACCGGAGUGGACGCAUCACUGGUGUUCGGGUUGUCAUGCCAAUGGCACUGCCCGGUAGCUAAAUGCGGAAGAGAUAAGUGCUGAAAGCAUCUAAGCACGAAACUUGCCCCGAGAUGAGUUCUCCCUGAGACUAUAAGUCUCCUGAAGGAACGUUAAAGACGACGACGUUGAUAGGCCGGGUGUGUAAGCGCAGCGAUGCGUUGAGCUAACCGGUACUAAUGAACCGUGAGGCUUAACCUU